UCUGACACAUUCCAACACCUCAUGUUGCUGUCCUGCUUUGAAGGCCUUAAUUGGUGUUUCUUUUUUUCUGUAGGCAUCCACUUGACCAGGGUCGACCACUCUUUUUAUCUUUCGACUAUUGCCAUAUAUUGAAAAAUAUACGGUCACAGUUCCUGGCAACAAACCGACUAUUCUUCAACAACGGAAAAUUCAUUGACCCAAAGUACCUACGUACACUCCUGGACAUUCAGCAGGUGCAGGUUGGCUUCAAAUCGGUUCGUGGCUUGACCCGAAGACACCUAUUCCCAACAAGCUUUGAAAAGAUGAAUGAGUGGACCUGUUCAAGCCUGAGGUAACUGCAGUGCUGAAAUACCUGCAAAGUCACGGACCAGCCAUUGAUGUCACUGGAUUUCAUGACAGCCUGCCAACUAUUGAAUUCCUUGAAAAUAUCUUCAAGAGGUUUGUGCUCCACAAUAUAAAGAACACUACGCACCACAUCUUCACCCGUGACCCCAACAGAAUGCUGUUUCAUUCAGGAAGUGCUGAAAGGCUAUCCUGGCUUGAAGGAGAGUUUCUUGAAUACAUCGAUCUGUGGAAGGCUACUGCACCAUCCAAGACAGCAUUUCUCUCAUCUGAAACCUACGAUGGCACUCAAGAUCACCACAAAGUCCACGGUGCUGUGUACUCGCUACUUGCUCGACCUGUCUUGACCUUCAAGUACUCGUCCGACGAAGUGGAAUCUUUGUUUUCCGCUGUGCGGCAGCUGAAUGGUUCGAAUGACCAAACGGAUGCGUAUGCUGCUCUCACUGUACUGCACAAGAUCAUAGCGACUGGGCUCCUAAAACAUCUCCACAUGCCAAUGUUCAAGACUCAGACACUGAAAUGAGUGCACGUCUAAAAAAAGUACAUCGACAGAACACCAUCUCCUACGGACGUCCGAAAUAGAUCCCAAUGUCCAUAUCUGAAAACUGACUUCCGUGGGACUCUCCUCGGAUAUUCAUGGAGGGAUAUCCGUAGCCGUAUAUCCGCAGGAGGUUCUGUUGCAGCUGUUUCACAGAUUGUCCGAAUCAGCUCCGUGAUGGGAUGCUGUACGGAUCAUGUAUUUGAAGAGAGAGAGAAACGCGGGACGAUGUAGCACUGCAGAAAUUCGACUUCCCAUGAACCAACUCACUUUCUCAAACUACAUGAGUAAGAAACAGAGACAUUACCUCUACGCCGACUCAAUACGCCAAACAAUUUCUCAUUUCACCGUUGUUUGCGCACACAAUCGAAUUAAACUUAGACAUCUCACCCUUCAUUUCGACUCACAGGCGAACAAGGCUCUCGAAUGUGUAGAAGCUCGCGAGAACACCGAUAUACA